ensembl:lncRNA
CAGAAACGCACUUAAAGCCGCCCUGCAGAAUGUACGCAGUUCAGAGUCUGCGAGGAGAGUUCUCCUGGCUUUGGCUUUGUUCAGACAGGUAACCUGCCGCCUAGGGUCACCUGACUCAGCCAUAUGCCCUGGAGAACAGGAGUUAGAUUUGCUGAAGGGCAGUGUGAGGGAGAGCACAACAGGGCACUUGUAUGAGCUCUGCAACAGCCUUUUAUCAAAUCCAUUUGGAGGUCAUGUGUCUCACCUGUAUGCUUGUGCGAACAAAUCAGCACAGAGACUUUCUUCUGGAGAUCCUGGUUCAUGCCAUCGCUGUGUUCCAU